rnacentral:misc_RNA from 1 species
CCUUCAUUUGAUGCUGGUGAAGCAUUUGCUAUGAUGAUGGCUGCAUUUGUUGCUCUUGUUGAGUCCACUGGUGCCUUUAUUGCAACUACGAGAUAUGCAAGUGCUACUCCAUUGCCACCAUCUGUACUCAGCAGAGGUGUAGGCUGGCAGGGAAUUGGCAUUUUGCUGUCUGGCUUGUUUGGCACUGGGAAUGGAUCUUCUGUAUCUGUUGAAAAUGUGGGGCUUUUAGCACUGACGCGUGUUGGUAGCAGAAGAGUAGUUCAGAUAGCUGCUGGAUUUAUGAUUUUCUUUUCAAUUCUUGGAAAAUUUGGAGCAGUCUUUGCGUCAAUACCAACAUCGAUUGUAGGUGCUUUGUAUUGCAUUUUAUUCGCUUAUGUGGGCGUAGGUGGCUUAAGCUUCCUUCAGUUUUGCAAUCUGAACAGUUUCCGUAGCAAGUUCAUACUAGGCUUCUCCAUCUUUCUGGGUUUGUCAAUUCCGCAGUACUUCAAUGAACACACAGUUAUUGAGGGUUAUGGACCUGUUCACACGAGUGGACGAUGGUUCAACGAUAUGGUUAACGUGCCAUUCUCAUCGGAAGCUUUUGUUGCGGGUAUCCUGGCUUAUUUCUUGGACAACACAAUGCACAAAAGGGAUGGUCAGGUAAGGAAAGACAGAGGCAAGCCAUGGUGGGACAAGUUCAAGUCUUUCAAGACGGACACGAGAAGUGAGGAAUUCUAUUCCCUCCCAUUCAAUCUCAACAAGUAUUUCCCAUCCGUGUGAUCGCCCCGUCCUUUAUCAUGGAGAUAGAAGGGUCAUAUACUCACAUGCCAUAUCAUCACUAGCCCUUCAAGAGCUGUGUAUUGGUGCGCAUUAAUGCAGUGCCACCAAUUUGCUUUUAUAUUUACUGGCUACUUCCCAAAGGUAUAAUUAAUUAGUCUUGACAUUUGUUAAUUGUUGUCUUUCUUGUAAAUCCAAGGUUAUAUGUACUAUGAAUAGUAAUAGAAUAAGCUUUGCUUCUUUCAAAUUGUAUGGUGAUUUCAGUAGCAAUAAGCCUGUUCGAUAUGAGUAGUAUCGAGCUGAUUUUGUGAUAGUAUUACUGAUGCGGAAGAUUGUGGCUAAACUAGCAGAUAAUCU